GAACGCUGGCGGCGUGCCUAACACAUGCAAGUCGAGCGAGAAUUUACGAAAUGAAGCUUCGGCAGAAUUUGUUAACUUAGUGGCGGACGGGUGAGUAACGCGUGGGUAACCUGCCUCAUACAGGGGGAUAACACUUAGAAAUAGGUGCUAAUACCGCAUAAGCGCACAGUAUCGCAUGAUACAGUGUGAAAAACUCCGGUGGUGUGAGAUGGACCCGCGUCUGAUUAGCUAGUUGGUGAGGUAACGGCUCACCAAGGCGACGAUCAGUAGCCGACCUGAGAGGGUGACCGGCCACAUUGGGACUGAGACACGGCCCAAACUCCUACGGGAGGCAGCAGUGGGGAAUAUUGCACAAUGGGCGAAAGCCUGAUGCAGCGACGCCGCGUGAGUGAAGAAGUAUUUCGGUAUGUAAAGCUCUAUCAGCAGGGAAGAUAAUGACAGUACCUGACUAAGAAGCCCCGGCUAACUACGUG
rnacentral:rRNA from 1 species